rnacentral:rRNA from 1 species
UACGGAGGGUGCAAGCGUUGCUCGGAAUUAUUGGGCGUAAAGGGUAGGUAGGUGGUCUCAUUUGUCUGAGGUGAAAGCCUUGAGCUUAACUCAAGAAGUGCCUCAGAAACGGUGAGACUAGAGUCCUGGAGAGGGUCGUGGAAUUCCCGGUGUAGCGGUGAAAUGCGUAGAGAUCGGGAGGAACACCAGAGGCGAAGGCGGCGACCUGGACAGGUACUGACACUCAACUACGAAAGCGUGGGGAGCAAACAGG